rnacentral:hammerhead_ribozyme from 1 species
AUCCAGAUAACGAGUCCCAAAAUAAGACUAAAUGCUCAUCCUGGAU